rnacentral:rRNA from 1 species
AUGUGGUACAGGAGAUGUUCGAUGUGCUGGGGUGUGCAGGCUACCAAUAUGUUGAGAAGAUCUCGGAUACGGGCAGUGAGUGUCACACCAUCUCCCGAGCAGCAGUACAAGGGACUAUGGCCUCAGACCAUCAGACUACACGGGAAGAUCCAACAGCAGCAGGUUCUGAUGCUAGUGGAUUCGGGGAGCUCUCACAGCUUUGUUAGCACAGACUUGGCUGCCAAAUUGCAAGGUGUUCACUGUACGACCAAUAUUCUGAAGGUCAAGAUUGCUGAUGGGGGACAACUAAUCUGCAACAAAGCGAUUGAGAAGUGCGUUUGGUCAGUCCAAGGACACAAAUUCUGCACAGAUCUUAAGGUCCUUCCCUUGGGUUGUUAUGACAUGAUUGUUGGCAUGGACUGGCUAGAACAGCACAGCCCAAUGGAUGUGCAUUGGGGGCACAAACGGAUGUCUUUCGAGUACCAUGGGAAGAAGAUCACUCUGAGUGGAAUCCAACCUCAGACCAAUGAGUGCCACCCGGUGUCUCUAAAUCAGCUGCACUUCCUGGUUGCCUGUAAUGGCAUCCACCAGAUGGUACAAUUGCAGGCUGUGGACGAUCAGCAAAAGGGUCAGCAUGAGACAGAGAUGCCACCACCCAUUGCUAACCUGGUUAAGGAGUUCCAAUCCCUGUUUGAGGCACCCAAAGGUUUACCUCCUUCCAGACCAUUUGACCACAAGAUCCCUUUGAUCCCCGGAGCUCAACCUGUCAACAUCAAACCCUAUCGCUACAACCCCUCGCAGAAAGACGAGAUUGAAAAACAGGUCAAGGAAAUGUUGCUGCAGGGCAUUAUACAGCCUAGCUACAGCCCCUACGCCUCUCCGGUGUUGUUGGUUCAGAAAAAGGAUUUAACCUGGAGGUUUUGUGUCGACUAUCGAUAG